UACGAAGGGGGCGAGCGUUGUUCGGAAUUAUUGGGCGUAAAGCGCGCGCAGGCGGUCUUUUAAGUCUGAUGUGAAAGCCCACGGCUCAACCGUGGAGGGUCAUUGGAAACUGGGAGACUUGAGUGCAGAAGAGAAGAGCGGAAUUCCACGUGUAGCGGUGAAAUGCGUAGAGAUGUGGAGGAACACCAGUGGCGAAGGCGGCUCUUUGGUCUGUAACUGACGCUGAGGCGCGAAAGCGUGGGGAGCGAACAGG
rnacentral:rRNA from 1 species